rnacentral:rRNA from 1 species
GACGAACGCUGGCGGCGUGCUUAACACAUGCAAGUCGAACGGUGAAGGGACCGGUUUUUGCUGGUUCUGGAUGAGUGGCGAACGGGUGAGUAACACGUGAGUAACCUGCCCCCUUCUUCUGGAUAACCGCAUGAAAGUGUGGCUAAUACGGGAUAUUCUGCGCCUGCUGCAUGGUGGGUGUGGGAAAGAUAUUGUUUCGGUGGGGGAUGGGCUCGCGGCCUAUCAGCUUGUUGGUAGGGUGAUGGCCUACCAAGGCGGUGACGGGUAGCCGGCCUGAGAGGGUGGACGGUCACACUGGGACUGAGACACGGCCCAGACUCCUACGGGAGGCAGCAGUGGGGAAUAUUGCACAAUGGGCGCAAGCCUGAUGCAGCGACGCCGCGUGAGGGAUGGAGGCCUUCGGGUUGUAAACCUCUUUCGCCAGUGAAGCAGGCCUGUCCCUUUUGUGGGUGGGUUGACGGUAGCUGGAUAAGAAGCGCCGGCUAACUACGUG